UUUAAAAUAAUGAAGCUUUUUUUUAAUGUAGGUAGUGGGGAUGGAACCUAGGACCUCAUUCAUGCCAAACAUGUGCUGUACCACUGAGCUGUGCCCUCCCCUCAAGAGCGGAAGAG